UAUGACUCUCAGCAAUGGAUAUCUUGGCUUUUGCCUCGAUGAAGAACGUAACAAAAUGUGAUACAUGGUAUGAAUUGCAGAAUCCCGUGAACCAAUGAGUUUUUGAACGCAAGUUGCGCUUGAGGCCAACUGGCCAAGGACACAUCCGCUUGGGCAUCGUGC
rnacentral:rRNA from 1 species